rnacentral:tRNA from 1 species
AGUCCUGUAGCUCAGUGGUAAGAGCGCUCGCUUUCCAAGCGAGAGACCUGGGUUUGAUUCCCGGCAGGGUGA